AUUUUCCCACUGUACAGCAAGGGGGUCAGGUCAUCCUUAGAUGUAUACAUUGCAGUUACAGUUUUUUUCCCCCACCCUUUCUUCUGUUGCAAAUUCCUAGAUAUAUAUAUAGAAAUAUAAGCAGUAUCUGUAGUAUCCAAAAACUGGUAUCAACAUAAAUGUCUAUUAACAGUAAAACUGAAAUAUAAAUUGUGGAGUAAUCUUACAAAGGAAUAUUUCCUAGCAAUAAAAGUGAAUUUUCACCACACAUAGUGAGGAGGAAGAUCAACCACAUAAUUAAGUAGUAAAAAAAAAAAAAGGCACAAAAGAUUACAUGCUGUAUAAUUCAGUUUAUAUAUACCUUUAAAAACAGGUAAAACCAUUCUAUGGGGAAAAGAGUCAUCUGGGUCAAGGAAGGACAGAAAAGGAGCAUGAGGGAGACAACUUUCUUCACUUUCACCUGGGUGGUGGUUAGUUGGGCAACCACCCUGGGAAAGUUCUCCAAGCUGUACUCUUAGGAUGUGCACGCCUUUCUGUUUGCAUGUGAUAUUUCGAUUUAAUAUUGUCACUCAAAACAUUAAGCAUACAUCAGAAUUUUUCUAGGACUACGUCCUGGAGUCAUGAAUUCAUCCUAGCAGGAGUAAUCAGAAUAAUCAGAUUCUAGUAAUGACUUUUCUACCAACUAGCCAUGGGAUCUUUAACAUAAUUUAACCUCCCAGAGAUAAUUCUAAUAGCCAAUAAAUCUCAGAGAUCUUCUGGAGAUUUCUUGUUUUUGAAAGACUUCAAGUCAUAUUUAUUCAUUUAACAAAUAUUCAGGUGAGCUUACUACACAUAGAGCACUGUUGUAGCACUUGUCAUUUUUACUGUAGUGGAAAUAGAAAGUAUGUAGCAAAUAUAAUGAAGAAGAAAGGCAGGAAGGAAGGAAGAAAGGGAGGGGGAAGGGAAGGGGGAACUGCAAUCAACAAUUUGAAAAGUUACAGACAUGGAUAUAUACAUACCAAAUGAAACUCUCAAUCCAGUGUGAUCAUAUAUGACCACACAUAAACACAGAAGGGAACCUAGCUUUAAAUAACUAUUUCAUCAGGCUGUGAAGUAAAGCCUGUCCCAGGAUUAACACUCCUGCAUAAAUCUUCCAUGAGUAAGUCUUGAUAACAUGAAAUAUUUAAGCAUUUCCUUGAAACCACAGAGGACAGAGCUGGAACCAAAGAGGCAGAUUUUUCAGAGAAAGAGAUUAGGACAAUAUUUAAGAAGGACCUUUAAGUAACCAAAACAUUUUAAAAGGCAGUGUUAAAAGAGAAACUUGAAAUAAUUUGUAUCUGGAGGGAGGUUAGUGUGAUCUAUAGGACUCUUCUAGGAUUUAAUCCUAACAAUAGGACUCAUUAAUUAGGAGUUUUUAAAACAUAUUAAAAUAUGGCAUAUUUUAAAUGUUUAUUGUAUAUAUACUAUAGUAAAAAUAAAAGCCAUACGCAACAUUACAUUCAUAAUAAACUGACAUUUAAAUUACUCUAUUAUCUUACAAGUCUUAAAAGGCUAUUAUAAUUACAUAUAUAGUAUAAUUAUAACAGAAAUAAAACUUUAUAUUCCUUUUUCACUGAAAGAUUAUCUUUAAGUAUUUUAAUAUGUUAAUUUUUAUUGUAAUUCUAGCUAGAUUAAUAAUGUUUAUAUCAGUAAAUAUAUCCUUUUCAAAUAUAAAAAGUAUAAGAAUUUCUAAAAAGCAACGUGAUUUUUUAAAAUCUACUUUAACAUCCUUCUAGUACAAAAGUGCAAACUGAAAAAAUACUUAUGAAUGUAUAUGUGACAAUCAAAUUGCCUAAAAAUCCAAAUAACAGAAUAAAAUAGCAGUCAAACUCACUGAAGCCCUGUUUAUGCCACUCCCUAGAGGCUUCAAAUUAUCUUUCAUCAGUUCAACCCAACCAAGCUGCAAAUCCUCGCAACUGCCUAUUAUGCACACUAGACAUCUGUAGAAUAUUACCAACAAAUAUUUAUUGAGUGGUUGUACUCCUUUCUAAUCCAUUCUCCACAGUACAGUUACAACGGUCUUUCUAAAAUGGUAAUUUGUCAAGUCAUGCCCCUUCUAAAAGUCAUAAAUGGUUUCCCUUCUAACACAGAAAUCAUAUCAAAGUUUCUCAAAAGGACUUUUGAGGCAGCACCCCCUAGUUAUGUGUGCAGUCUUACCUCUCCCCACUCUGUCUGAAUUGAGUGUUUCAACCACAUGGCUCCACUUAAAGGUUCUCUGAGCUCUGUGGAUUCCCAGCCCUAAAUACGAGGUGUCACUUCUCCCUAGAAUACUAUUCCCUGAUCUUUCAUCCUAACUUCUACUCAGCCUCCAAGACCGACCUGAAAGAAGGAAUGAGCUGCACCAAGACCUUCCUGGCUCCCCACAUACCCAGAGCUUCACCCCUAGAAUAAACUCUCACUGGCUUAUACCACUUAAUGGCCUACCGUCCCCACCUUCAGCAAGACAGGGACCAUUUCUCUGUGUCACUACUCUGUACCCGAUGACACCUAGAAAGUUUAUUAUCUGUGGAUGAGUGAAUGAUAUAAAUGCCCUCCCUGGAUAUAAACAAUAUGAAUGCUGGGUUCAUGGGACACAGCAGAGAAUAAAAAUAUAUUUCCCACACAAAUAAUUCCAUAGUCUGGGCAUUUGCUUAAAUUUGAAAAAGCAGAGAAGAGAAGUAGGUGACCGUGGAGAAAUUCCUUAAGCACUUCAAGCUUUGUCUUCCUCUUCUGUAAAGUGGGGGGCCCUCACCAUUUCAUCACAGGAUGCAACGAUCUACUCACGGACCAAACCAGCAAACCUGCCAUCAUCUGUAUUUCCUCUCUCCCCCUCUACUAUUACACCCCAUCUAACCAAAAAGCCUGUGUGUCUACCUCCAGAGAGGGAUUUUAAUCUGCCCACUUCUCUCCAUUUUUCUCUAUCCCCGCAGUAACCCAGGUUCUCUGUUAGACUUUCAGGUUAAUUUUUCCCAUCCUUGCCUUAUCCAAUUUAUUUAUCACAGAGCUGUCAGAAAAACUAUAAACUGAACAGUCACUCUACUUGAAAUCUCCCUCAAAGAUGUCCUACUGCCCUGUUAAAUGAUGUGGCCCCUAACGAUCUCCCCAGACUCAUCUCAGCCACCCAUGCCCUCACAAAGUUCCAGCCAUGCUGGCCUCCUUCCAGAUCCUGCAACAUAUCAAGCUUUUUCCUGCCUCAGAACCUUUGCAUGUGCUGUUCUCUCUGCGUAGCACUCUCUCCUCUUCACUUUUUAUAGGGUCAGUUCCUGAACGUCCUUCAGCUUCAAUGUCAUUUCUCUUCGGAGAGACUUUUCCCUGAACACCAUAUGUAAAUGGUUCCCCCAGCCCACAGUCCCAGUAUUCUCUAUUACCACACUUUCCUUCGUCGCAGCAAAUUCUCAAAGUGGUGAGCCAUGCCUCCGUACACAGCAACAGACUGAAAACAUUUCAGGAAGGAAGAUGAAAAGAAGGGAAGCUGUAUAUGGGCAGAGGAUGUGCAGUCUAUUUUGAUGUGAACAGUGCUUCCCAGUUUUCUCUAAAUUUCACCUUCAACAGUCUGACAUCCAUCACCGAGUUGAAUAAAUGCCUUCUGUUCUGAAGAUUAUCGUUAAUGCAUAAGCUACCUGAGAUAAGGCACGGAUUGAUAUAAUUGAGUCAAUAAAAGUAGAGAAUUGUUACCCCAGAAGGGAUGAAAUAGGAUCAUGGGGAAAUAGAAAAUAAAAUACUUGACAGCUUUGAUAAAAGAAAUAAAUUCAGAAAGUUCUAAAACUGAAGUGCCACCUAAGGGUGGUGAUAUCAGGAGGAAGACACAUGAUAAGGCUUGGGAGGGGGAAGAAAUGAAGCAAAACAACAUCUGAGUCCCUGAAACACAUGACUAAACAGGAGAAAAACUGAUGAGGACAGAAGUAGUAGCAAAGAUUAACCUUGAUUAUUUCACAUUUCACAUAUGGUGUUUCCUGGAAUUUUCCCUGCACAGAAAUAUUAAGCAUGAGAAUUGGCAAUUUCAUAUAGAAUCGCCUAGAAUGUAAUCCAAAUUUUAUGAGUCAAUCAAUUCCCUUCUAACUCCUAGGCAAGUCUAAUAUUGCUGAAUGUGUAAUAUUACUAAUUUGAGAUUGGGUGAAAGUGCCAUGUACCUACACUCACAGCCAAAUGGUUCAGUUGUGCUUCAUGAGAGCUGGAUGCACUCGGGUUCAUUUUAUGUUGGUCACCUGAGGUACAAUUUGCUCCCCACCACUCUGCAAUAAGCAGCUGUUUGCAAUAAGCCUCACGUUGCAGACAAGCAUUAGAACACCUCCUGGGGUUUACAGGAUGUUGAUUCCUAAAGGCCAGAUUUAACACUUUGGGGAAAUAUAAAAGCCAGUAAGCCACUACAGAAGGAAAAAUAACGCAUGGUAUUUGAUCAUUUGAGGAAUGCAACUUAUUGCAGGGAUUGGUUACCACAGAAACUAUGAUCUGUAAAUGGCCAGGUGGGAGAUGCUGAAAAAUAAUACGUUGUACAAAAACUGAGUUGACUCGCGGAACAACACAGAUCAGUGGCACCAUGGGGAUUACCUGGUGGUGGUUCUGGCUAAUGGUUUACAGGUCUGAAUCUCUAGUCAAAGCACUAAUGUCCCAUCUGACCACUCUGGCCUCCAUCACAACAACUGCUAUCUCCGACAGAUUGUUUUAACACAUCUCUGUCACAGAAUUCUUUACUUAAGUGAAAAUAAAAUAAAAUAAGCUAGUUAAUGUAUUCCCAUUAGGUAGGUUAUACUCCCUAGAACCAAGAAAAUAAGUCAAAUUCACUUUCGACAUUCCUACAAAGAUCUGGAAAAAGCUAUGUGUACUUUCAUGCCUUAUUUUUCCUGUCUUCAGAUUAGACGGCGUUAGCUUAUUCAACUGUAACCUUGAUUGUAGGGCAUGGUGUUAAGUCACUUUAACUACCUAACUACUAUCAUCUAAAUAUGUUAUUGCUAUAUUUCAACCAUCAAAGCCAACUGUACUAACCUUAUAUUAAGACAACAUAUGCUCUAAGUGUGUUGUAUGUCAUUUCACCAAAUCCUAAUAAGGAUGGGCUUAUAAUUACUAUCUUACAAUGAAGAUAUUGAGGGUUACAGAAAUAGAAAUCCUUGCUAGAGGCAGAAAUAGAAAUCCUUGCUAGAGGCUAUAUCGUUAGUGACAAGUACAGGAAUUGAACACACAUCUGACUCCAAAGCCUAGCCCCUGUUCUGGACUAUUUCAGGCAACACCUGAGCAGAGUGGAGGGGAGAUGGGGGAACAGAAGCUU
rnacentral:lncRNA from 1 species